rnacentral:rRNA from 1 species
AUUGAACGCUGGCGGCAGGCCUAACACUUGCAAGUCGAACGGUAACAGGAAGCAGCUUGCUGCUUCGCUGACGAGUGGCGGACGGGUGAGUAAUGUCUGGGAAACUGCCUGAUGGAGGGGGAUAACUACUGGAAACGGUAGCUAAUACCGCAUAACGUCGCAAGACCAAGAGGGGGACCUUAGGGCCUCUUGCCAUCGGAUGUGCCCAGAUGGGAUUAGCUAGUAGGUGGGGUAACGGCUCACCUAGGCGACGAUCCCUAGCUGGUCUGAGAGGAUGACCAGCCACACUGGAACUGAGACACGGUCCAGACUCCUACGGGAGGCAGCAGUGGGGAAUGUUGCACAAUGGGCGCAAGCCUGAUGCAGCCAUGCCGCGUGUAUGAAGAAGGCCUUCGGGUUGUAAAGUACUUUCAGCGGGGAGGAAGGGAGUAAAGUUAAUACCUUUGCUCAUUGACGUUACCCGCAGAAGAAGCACCGGCUAACUCCGUG